CCAGCAUAACAAAUCUGCAUACCAUAGUUUUAAAAAAAUCUAGUUAGUGAGCCAAUCUUUUGCUUCGCUGAUUUUUCAUACUUUGCCCAUUGUCCAGCAUGAAAACAAUGGGUCUAGUCAAUUGUAAAGACCAAUCAUUCUAAGAAUACCAAUGAACGUCAAUCUGACUAAGGAUGAGCUGAGAUUAUGUUGAUGACAUCAUCGUGCAACUGCCCAUUCGCAAAACUGGAGGUUUUAUGCAUCGGCUCUGCUGGAGUUCUUUGAAAUUGGACCUGAGAUUUAUUCUAUUUGUGACAGUUCUGACAGUGAUGAUGAGAUUGCGGAUUCAUUUAUGAUUAUGUUUUGAAUAAAGUGCAUCUUCAAUUUCACCUGUUUAAUUUUUUUAUUAUACUGCGCACAAUAAUAACUUCUUUUGAAGAUAGGUAUCGUAUGCAUGCAGCUCUUUAAUUAUUUUCUCAUGUGGUGUGAUUCUAAGUAAAUAAUAUUUAGGAUUUAGCUAGAAGAUUUCACCUUUUUGGAGUAACAUACUAGUAUAUACACGGUCGACUGAUGUGUAGCCCUCAUUCCCUUAUGCAAAAUUAUAAAGAGUGCAUUCUAUCGAGAGACAAUUCAAGUCAGUACAUAUGUAAAAGGGUAAAAAGGCCCUUGAGUAAAAAAAAUUGAGAUUUUUUUGGACAAAGUAUGUAGCGAAUUGCUUGAAUAAGCAACAAAGGUGUAUGGCCUUGUCACGUAUGAUGCAACGGCACGGUACCUUGUGCCGAGAAAACUAUUGGAUGGAUAUAACCGGCUUGGCGUCGUUGAAAUUACAUUACAAAUUGAUAAAAGGAUUGCCUCCAAAAAUUCCCCCGAUUCUACAACUUUUUUAGAAUCACUGCCCUGCGGAAGCAUAAGAAGUGCAUCGGCACGAUUGAAACUGAGAAGUCGACUGCUAAUCUGAUUUCCUGAAAUUUUGAGA